rnacentral:rRNA from 1 species
AUUGAACGCUGGCGGCAGGCCUAACACAUGCAAGUCGAACGAGUGGCGGACGGGUGAGUAAUGUAUCGGAAACUGCGUGAUGGAGGGCGAUCACUACUGGAAACGGUAGCUAAUACCGCAUACCAUCAGAUGGGCCCAGAUGGGAUUAGCUAGUUGGUGGGGUAACGGCUCACCAAGGCGAGUAGCCCUAGCUGGUCUGAGAGGAUGACCAGGCACACUGGAACUGAGACACGGUCCAGACUCCUACGGGAGGCAGCAGUGGGGAAUAUUGGACAAUGGGCGCAAUCCUGAUGCAGCCAUGCCGCGUGUAUGAAGAAGGCCUUCGGGUUGUAAAGUACUUUCAGCGGGGAGGCGUUACCCGCAGAAGAAGCACCGGCUAACUCCGUGCCAGCCGCCGCGGUAAUUC